UCUCGCUCCAGGGCUCUGCACGGGCUUUGCCCUCGGCCCCCGCCCCUCUGAACACCCCGGUUCCCCGGGCCAGGUGUCCUCUGCGAGCGGCACAGCUGAAGGAAAUGAUCUUGGAGGAAAGAACAGCAGAUGCAAAGGUCCUGAGGUGGAAUACUUGGGAAGCUUGAGAAACCCCCAGAAGUUGCUGGUUCACGAAGCCUGAGAAGGUGGACAGGACUGGCUCUGGAGGGCCUGGCGGGUGGCAGCAAAGAGGUGAGUGUUCUCCUGGGACCACAGAGCAGGGUCCCAGCAGGGCAGCCCAUCCCCCCUCUGCUUUCAGAGCCCAGUAGUAUAAGUGAGGGGCCCUCCCCUCUCCUGGGCCUGGGUUGCUGUCACCUCAUAAUACCUGGUCCCUGCUUCAGACCUGUGGACCACGCGUGAUGAGUUUCUUCAGUUCCUCUGACCGGGAAGCCAGCUCAGAACACCCACCUGCCACCAAAGCCGUCUCAGAAGCAGCAGGAGGCACUGGGAUCGGUUCUCGAGGUGUGAGGGGCCAGGAAGGAACUUGUGGGCGGCUGUUGGGGAGGCAACAAGAGCCGACACAGAUGCCUGGGGAGCUGACUGAAGCCAUGGCCUCUGCGCUUGGGGUCUGGCCCGCACCACCUGCGUCUCGGUCUACAACGGGGACCAGGCAGGACGCUGGAACAUUUGUUGAAUGAAUGGACUGGUGGACAGGAAGCAGGGCAGGCAGCCAGGGGAGAGGGUCUGAGGCCCUGGUCUCCGUGUUCUGCUCUAUAAAAUGGGCUCACACCUGUGUGGCCAGAGAGGUCAAGGGGGUGGGGAGGGUCUCCCCUGGGGGGUCUCCUCUUCCU